AUGCUCCAUUCCCCGACCCUCCCUCCCCUAAUUAUCACGACCCCCAAUCCCCUCAUACAUCCCUUAACCCGGGCAGUGCCUUAUGUCUCCCCCUGGCGUCUCGUCUCGCCCCCGUGGUUCUGGCUUUUACUCCGGGCUCCGUUCCCCCAUUGGCGGCGGCUUCUCCUCGCGUCAUCGCUUCCUCCCGCUUUAGUGCACCGCCCCGCGUCCCGCAGCCGUCGCCGCUCCGGAUCCCUCCGUGUCUCUUCCAGUUCCAGCCGUGCCGAGUGGAUCCGCCGCUCAUGGCUGCCCGCUGGUAGCAGCUCUCCGUUCGGUGAUGUGUCCGUACACCUUCAAACCAAUAUGUGAAGUGGAGCUCAGGCUGGGGUGAGUAGGUAUUGCUGGUACUGUUGGAAGGGACCUCAAAAGACCAUCGGGUGCAGUGCCCCCACCGAAGCAGGCCGCCUAUAAUAGGUGGGCAUCCGGAUGAGCCUUGACUACCUCUAUAGAAGGAGACUCUACAACCUCUCUAGGUGAGAGCAUCUAUUUGGAGGUUUCCUCUGGCAGUUUCCCAAGCAGAUUGGAGUAGCCCAAUUCCCUUUCAUGCAUGGCUCAUACCUGGAAUGUAAGCACUGCAUUGCCCUGGCAUCCCUGGGAGCUGAUUGCUAAUCUCAGGACCAUAGAAUGGCUUGGGUAUGAAGGGAUCUUAAAGAUGUUGGGUUGGAAGGGACCAUCUAGUAUCACCCCCUGCUGUAGGCUGGUUGCACCCCACCAGAUCAGGCUGCCCAGGGCCCCAUCCAACCCAGCCUUCAGCACUCGGAGGUCAGAGAUCUCGGUGGCAGGAGGAAUGGGAUACUGCUUCAAAGUGAUGUGGAGCAGAGAAAGGAUUUUUCCUUUCCCUUUGCUUCCCUGCUUUCUAAAGGAGAUCGUAAAGAGGCAGAAUUUAUACUAGAAACAGGAACGUGUCUUUCUGUAACAGGAAGCUGCUGGUACGUGUCUUUGGGAAGCCACAGAAAUCAACAGUGUUCACAGCCCAGUGUGAAGGCUGGCUGUCCUCAGGGUUAAGGAGAUCUGAGACAACAGUAAACAUUUUAUCUGACGUAUCCAUGAGAUCUGCUGUGCUGUGUGAGCUGUGUGCUCACUGGGAUCUCUGGGGCCAUGUCUUUCCAAUGUUUGCUCGCAUGGUUUCUGUAGGUCUGCUUUUGUGACUAGAAUCAGUUUGCAAAGGUCCGAAAGUUCUCCAAAAAGCCAUUAGAAAAGCCUGACCGUGACACUGAUGGCGGAGUUAAGCUGGGCUGGCUCAGGAAUGUAGGGUUAAAUGCAGGCUAUCUGCACGUGGCCCCGGAGCAAACUCUGAGCGCGGCUCAAU
rnacentral:lncRNA from 1 species